rnacentral:SRP_RNA from 1 species
UCGUGCUAGACGGGGAGCUAGCGGUGCCCUGUAACCCGAACUCCGCUUAUGCGGGGUUGAACUCCCUCAUUGAGGGUUGCAGCGCAGUCAGGGACGGUGGCCAGAAGGGCGGAUUGGCUCCCACGCAACAGGCGGUGGUGAACCCCGUCAGGUCCGGAAGGAAGCAGCGGUAAGCCGGCCCGGCUGUGUCGUGGCGGCUGCUAAUCCUUCACCCCCUGGUUUAUCUACCUGCCUGAGGCGAAUCCGAAGGAGGGUGCACGG